AGUGAACGCUGGCGGUAGGCCUAACACAUGCAAGUCGAACGGCAGCACAGUAAGAGCUUGCUCUUACGGGUGGCGAGUGGCGGACGGGUGAGGAAUACAUCGGAAUCUACUUUUUCGUGGGGGAUAACGUAGGGAAACUUACGCUAAUACCGCAUACGACCUACGGGUGAAAGCAGGGGAUCUUCGGACCUUGCGCGAUUGAAUGAGCCGAUGUCGGAUUAGCUAGUUGGCGGGGUAAAGGCCCACCAAGGCGACGAUCCGUAGCUGGUCUGAGAGGAUGAUCCGCCACACUGGAACUGAGACACGGUCCAGACUCCUACGGGAGGCAGCAGUGGGGAAUAUUGGACAAUGGGCGCAAGCCUGAUCUGGCCAUACCGCGUGGGUGAAGAAGGCCUUCGGGUUGUAAAGCCCUUUUGUUGGGAAAGAAAAGCAGCAGGUUAAUACCCCGCUGUUCUGACGGUACCCAAAGAAUAAGCACCGGCUAACUUCGUG
rnacentral:rRNA from 1 species